rnacentral:rRNA from 1 species
GAUGAACGCUGGCGGCGUGCUUAAUACAUGCAAGUCGAGCGGAGAGGCGUGGCGUUUGACCCUCUGUCGUUAGGGGCGGGCGGGUGAGUAACACGAGGAUAACCAUCAUAUGAGAACGGGAUAACUACGGGAAUGCGGAGAUAACACAGGAUAAACUAUUGAAACGCAGGGAUCAAUGGUGAAUGCGGGUGUUGCUGAGACUAAUAGGGGGUUCCGAGCCGGUUUGGCUAGUUGGUAGGGUAACGGCUUUCCAUGGCAACGAUGGGUGGCCGACCUGAGAGGCUGACCGGCCCCACUGGAACUGGGACACGGUCCAGACUCCUCCGGGAGGCGCCAGUAGGGAAACUUCCGCAAUGGGCGAAAGCCUAACGGAGCAAGCCCGCGUGGUGGAUGAAGCCCUUCGGUUCUUAAAACCCUUUUACGAGGGGAAAACAACUGUGUAAGUUACUAUGCGCUUCUUGACGGUACUUGAUCAAUAAGCCCCGGCUAACUACGUG